AAUCAAUAAGCUUUAAGAAGCGUGUAUUUUGAAAGUACAAGAUAAGAACUAAAAAUCUUAUUGAUUU
rnacentral:tRNA from 1 species